GAUGAACGCUAGCGGCAGGCUUAACACAUGCAAGUCGAACGGAGUUACCCUUCGGGGUAGCUUAGUGGCGAACGGGUGAGUAACGCGUGAAGAACCUGCCUUUCAGUGGGGGACAACAGUUGGAAACGACUGCUAAUACCGCAUAAUGUCAUUUGGGGGCAUCCCCGAAUGACCAAAGAUUUAUUGCUGAAAGAUGGCUUCGCGUCUGAUUAGCUAGUUGGUGAGGUAACGGCUCACCAAGGCGACGAUCAGUAGCCGGUCUGAGAGGAUGAACGGCCACAUUGGGACUGAGAUACGGCCCAGACUCCUACGGGAGGCAGCAGUGGGGAAUAUUGGGCAAUGGACGCAAGUCUGAACCAGCCAUGCCGCGUGCAGGAUGACGGCUCUAUGAGUUGUAAACCUCUUUAGUCGGGGAGCAAAAAGGAUCACGCGUGGUCCAUUGAGCGUACCCGAAGAAUAAGCAUCGGCUAACUCCGUGCCAGCAGCCG
rnacentral:rRNA from 1 species